rnacentral:piRNA from 1 species
UGAAACAUCGGAUUAUCUGAC